GAAGAAAUGACAAGGCGAAAUUUUCGCUGGGGGGAUGGGGGAUAAAUAAAAAAGAUUACAAAAAAAACGCAGAGAGUAAAAAUAAAAAUUCUUUAUUCUGGCACAUAUUAAUUGAUGUGGAGGGAAGGGGAAGGCGGGAAAUUAUAAUGUGGUCGGGGUAGAGGGGGAUGGGGGAGAAGAAAAGAGAAGGUGGUGGGGUGGAAGGUGAGGGGAGGUAUUCGCCAAAGCAAAAGGUAUCGAUCAAAAAGGCAAUGUGAGUGUGUGUGUGUAUCCGCGGAAAGUUGCUUUUCGAGCUGUCACUCAGAGAAGUGAAGGGGGAGUGAGCCUUUUUCUCCCAGCAGAGCCCGCGACGCAGACUGGUUGGACCGCCCGCCCGCCCUAGAGCACACUACCGCCCACCCAGAAUUCUUCCCCAGUGCGCUCUGGCGAUAGCUUUCCUUUUACCGGCACAGCGCCAGUGGAAGAGCCCAGUCGUAAUUCGCGCUCGCCAACUGAACAGUCAUAAACAAGUCAGCUCUUGACAUCUCUUGACGCGAUUGUUCUAAGUCAAUCGGAUGCGGCGCUCAUCUUAACCGUGUGCUUUGGCGAUCGUCGGCUUCGUCAAAUAGUGUUCGAACUUUGGAAUUUUUUUCGACUACACUACAUAGUGACUUAUCGAAAAAAUACAUUUAAAUUUAUGUAUAUUAAAAAAAACUGGACUUGUUAAAAGAAAAAUGGACAAAUAAUUAACGCCGAACAUGGACAUUUUUUGAAAAAAAAAUUCCCUUGCAUGCAAAACUUGGGAUUUUCGAAUUUUUCGAGGAGAAAUUCUUCGUAGAACUCAAAAUAGCUCAUAACACAUUUUAAUAGCGUUAGUUAUGUUACAUAUAUAAACUGUGAAAUUCUAUCGAACAUUUUCUGAGGGAACAUUUCGAACGUUUUCGCUUGUUUUUCCGACUGAAAUAAAAUGAGUUCUUAUCAGUUUGUGAACUCAUUAACUUCCUGCUACGGACAACGUAGCCAAGAUUCCUCGAGCCAGGACUAUUACACACCACAGGUGCAAGCUUACGGGGGAUGCUACAGCGGACCCGGUUCACCGGUACAGCAAUAUGGGCCCUAUCCUCAACACAAUGUAUCACAUUUACAAAAUGGAGAUCAUCAUUUCAACAGCUGCUCGCAAAACCGCAUGAGCCACCCGAACCCCAGUCAGAGUCCUCGUACCCCGACCCCCUCUGUUACUCCAGUGCCCAGUUGCAAGUAUGCUGAGCCCAGUGCUGCAUCUCCCCAAGAUUUGAGUACUAGCGGCUCCCACCCACCUCCAGCGGGGAGUCCGGAGUCUAGAACCUCCCCUCAACCCCCGAGGCAGGCCUCGCAGCACCCCUCACCCACGCAUUCUCAAGGGGUGCCCCCAUCGCAGCAGACAGCGAGUCAACAGGCUAGCCCACAGCAACAGAAUCAGGGCCCACAAGAUUCUUCGCCCCAAUCGGCACAACAGCAAGGGCAGCAGAAAUCGGCAUACCCAUCUAAUCCUCCACAGAUUUAUCCAUGGAUGAGGAAGGUUCAUGUCGGUCAGAAUGGUGUAAACGCAAUGGGAGAAACGAAACGACAGAGAACGUCCUACACUCGAUAUCAAACGUUGGAACUCGAGAAAGAAUUUCACUUUAACAGGUAUCUGACUAGGAGGCGGAGGAUUGAAAUUGCGCAUGCGCUCUGUCUAUCAGAACGACAGAUCAAGAUAUGGUUCCAAAAUAGGCGGAUGAAAUGGAAGAAGGAGCAUAAACUGGCAUCCACCAUGCCGCCACAGAUUCCUCAAGUCAUGGCUGACCAUCACCCACAUCAUCACCACCCCCAUCACCAUCACGCUCACCACUUACACGUGUGUUAAAAGCCUGUAAUAGAAGCGAAGAAGAUUUUAGUAGGCAUUUCAUUUGCUUUAAUUGAAAAAUUAAAGCAAAAACAACAUGUCUGUGCAUGUCUUUCAUUUAGUCUGAUGUAUGCAUGAUAGAACAAAAGUUUUGGUAAUAGUGAUGAAAACUUGAAUUCAAAAGUGAAAUUUUACGAUAAUCAUAUUCAUUGAAAUACUAUACAGCGCAAGCAAUCCUAUGAAAGACAGACUAUUUAAAUGUGCUCACUCAUUUCUAUAUAUAAAAAAAAUAAUAACAAUAAUAAUAAAGAUUCAGUUUCUGAAUCUUUAAGACUGUGAAGAACUUUCACUUGUUCCUGUGCAAACUUUAAAAGGGAUGUUUACUUGUACAAAAAAUGAACUCAAAUUUAAAUAAUGUAUAAAUGUAUUCCUACUUGUGUAGAAAAUAUUUAGUGUGAAAAUACUCCACCGGAUAAAAUUCAAUUAUCCGGAAAUGUUUCCUUUUCGAAACAGUUUUGAUUAAUUUAUCUGAAAUGAACGCUGAUGUGUCAGUGUUGUAAAAAAAUUGUAUUAUUAUUUCAUAUAGAACUUUGAUUAGUCCUGGUAAAAUCCCAAUGAUGAGCAUUGUUUAAUUUUUUUUUCUUUUAUCAAGUAAGUAAAUAGAAGUAAAGAAAAAGUAAAUGAAAAAAAAAAUUGCUAAA